rfam:Tupaia chinensis contig2612, whole genome shotgun sequence.
CGGCUUCUUGCUUCAACAGUGUUUGAACAAAACCUG